ACGGAGGAUCCGGGCGUUAUCCGGAAUUACUGGGCUUAAAGGGUGCGUAGGCGGGUCGUUAAGCCGGCGGUGAAAUGCCCGGGCUCAACCGCGGGAAUGCCGCUGGGACUGGGGCGCUUGGAUACGGUCGGGGGGGGUGGAACUCCAGGUGUAGCGGUGAAAUGCAUAGAUAUCAGGAGGAACGCCGGUAGCGAAGGCAGCUCGCCGGGCCGGUAUUGACGCUGAGGUACGAAAGCGUGGGGAUCGAACAG
rnacentral:rRNA from 1 species